UUUCAUAAAAUUUUUAUUUUAAGAUAUUUAUAAAUAUAAAAUUUAAAAUAAAAUUUUUUUUAUUUUGUUGGGGUGAUAAAAAAAUAAAAAAAACUUUUUUUAAAAAAAAACAUAAAUAAGUGAUUGAUUGAUCCAAUUUUAUUGAUUAAAA
rnacentral:rRNA from 1 species